AUUGAACGCUGGCGGCAUGCUUUACACAUGCAAGUCGAACGGCAGCGCGGGCUUCGGCCUGGCGGCGAGUGGCGAACGGGUGAGUAAUGCAUCGGAACGUGCCCAGUAGUGGGGGAUAGCCCGGCGAAAGCCGGAUUAAUACCGCAUACGACCUGAGGGUGAAAGCGGGGGACGGAAAGGCCUGUCGCUCUUGUAGGGGCGGAUGUCGGAUUAGCUAGUUGGUGGUGUAAAGGCUUACCAAGGCGACGAUCCGUAGCUGGUCUGAGAGGACGACCAGCCACACUGGGACUGAGACACGGCCCAGACUCCUACGGGAGGCAGCAGUGGGGAAUUUUGGACAAUGGGGGCAACCCUGAUCCAGCCAUGCCGCGUGCGGGAAGAAGGCCUUCGGGUUGUAAACCGCUUUUGUUCGGGAAGAAAUCCUCUGGGCUAAUACCCCGGGGGGAUGACGGUACCGGAAGAAUAAGCACCGGCUAACUACGUG
rnacentral:rRNA from 1 species